UAUUAGUUACUCUCACCUUCCCAUUGACCGUCCUUAUUUAAAACAUUGUUAUGAUUAAUAUUUUUAUUAUUAUUAGAUGAUAAAACAUGAAUAAUAUUUUAUGCAUGACUUAUUUUUUUUAUUUUUUUCAUAUUUUUUAAAAUAAACGGGCAAUCAAGCGUGGUACAUGUAAACCACAACUACAUUUAAA
rnacentral:pre_miRNA from 1 species